AUUGAACGCUGGCGGCAGGCCUAACACAUGCAAGUCGAACGAGUGGCGGACGGGUGAGUAGUGUCGGGGAAACUGCCUGAUGGAGGGGGAAAACUACUGGAAACGGGAGAUAAUACCGUAUACUAUCAGAUGUGCCCAGAUGGGAUUAGCUAGGUGGUGGGGUAACGGCUCACCAAGGCGACGAUCCCUAGCUGGUCUGAGAGGAUGACCAGCCACACUGGAACUGAGACACGGUCCAGACUCCUACGGGAGGCAGCAGUGGGGAAUAUUGCACAAUGGGCGCAAGCCUGAUACAGCCAUGCCGCGUGUGUGAAGAAGGCCUUCGGGUUGUAAAGUACUUUCAGCGGGGAGGCGUUACCCGCAGAAGAAGCACCGGCUAACUCCGUGCCAGCCGCCGCGGUAAUAC
rnacentral:rRNA from 1 species